AUCGGACGAUGGACUGCCGAAGCUGAGCCCGCCCCCGCUGGCCAGCGGCCGCGCUCCGGCUCUGCGCAGGCGCGGGGAUCUGUCCCAACGCGGUGUCCGCGCAGGCGCCGGCUCUGCGCAGGCGCGGGGUGUGCGCAGGCGCGUGGCGGCGGCCCUACCGGGAGCGCGCGGGUCCCUGAGAUGGAAGACUCGAGGUGAAAGCUGAACUCAGCUCAGCAGGACGCGGGCUCCGCCGCGCGGGGUUCCCAUAGACUCCCCACCCCCUGGGCGACCAGUUCCUGGGUGGCGGGCUGCUAAGGGAGGAGCUCCUUCGGAGAUAGGUGCUUUCAAACCCCGCUCCCAUUUUAAGCAAGGAUUCUUUUUUCCUGGUUGAAAUGGGUUGCCACAUUUAUAUUGACUCUUUUAUUGCUGUAAAAUGUACCAUUUUGACCACUUUUAAGCGUGCAGUUCUGUGGCAUUAAGUAUCUUUAUAUCGCUGGGCAACCAUCCCCACCCUCCACCUCCGGAACGUUUUCAUUUUCUUAAACUGGAACUCUAUUCCUUACACAGUAACUCCCAGUUGCCCCCUUCCCUUCGUAAAAAUUUAUUUUUAGCUUUCAAAUGAUUCAGGUGUCAGUGAAGAUAGGAGUAUGUGACAUAAAUUCUCCCACUCUGGGGGCUGCCCCCCCCAGUUCCGUUCCUGAAAGUAUCAGCAAAUAGCUUUCUUCCCCUUCGGUGUUUCUUGGAGAUCAUCCCCGACGAUCUAGACUUGCCGUAACUUGUCCACCGUGUCCCCUGUUGGUUGACAGUCGGGUUGUUACCAAUGUUUGGACACAAGCUGCUUUUUUGUGCAAGUGUGAGGGCUUCUGUGGGAGGAAUCCCUGGAAUUGGCAUUGCUGGGCCCAGCAGGAUGUGCCUAAAGUAAUGUUGAUAGCUCUUGGCAAGCUCCCUCUGGAAGCUCCAUUGAUCAUUGAAGCCCAGCCACAAAAGUAAGGGAGCCCGAACCUUCCCCGGCACGGCGGCUCCCCCUCUGCCUGACGCGUGAAAAAUGGUAUCUCACUGCCGUUUACAGCUGUGUUUCUGAUGGUGGUUAUUUUAAGGUUUUCUUGGAAUCGCUUUUCGGUUUCAUGCAAAGCCACUGAAACCUUUUUGAAGAGUUGCUGGUGGAUUCCUCUGGACAGCGGUCGCGGUGUGUUCUCUGAGCCACAGAAGAAGGGUCACCCGUGAACCUCAGUGAUUUAUGCUGUGCCGUGGUAGUGAUGUGAGGGACGGCACAGACGUUCAUGACACAUCUGUUUUGCGCCAGGUAUUGUGCUAGGUGCUCCACCCUACAUCACCUGGGUGAGGAAACAACAGGAAGACACCACCCAGGAACCUGGAAGGGGCUCUCACCAGACACUGAAUCUGCCAGCACCUUGACCUUGGACUUCCAGCCUCCAGAACUGUGAGAGCUCAGUGGUAGUUGUUUAAGCUGCCAGCCUGUGGUGGUGUUUGGGAUAGCAUCUUGAACAGACGUAGACAGUACUACAUGGACGUGAUUUAGAGAGUGAAUUACCAGAUCCCCUUCUAUACCCCCCGCCCAGGUUCCAGCUCACCAAAGACGGCCACUUUUAAAUCUCUUAUAUUUCUCCGUGUUUCUAAAUAAUCUGCUUCUUUUCCCUCUUUCUUUCUCUCUUUCCUUUAUUUCCGUUUUCGAUGGUGUCUGUUGAUUACCACUAAGUAGGAAUGAGGAAUUCUCUUCCAGCCCCACCACAGUCCUUCCUCCCCCAUACAGUUAAAUGUUCUCAGUGUUAUGAUGGUGUAAACCAUGUUCACGGUUGAACGUGUAGGCAUAAAUGCCUGACUGUGUGCAUGUGGGCAAAGGGCCCCUUAUGUAGUGGGGAACCUUGAACAAACAAGCCCCCUGAAGGAGGGCUGGACGUAGACCCCCAGGCUGACACAGUGAGCCCCAGGUCUCCUGAAUGGUCAGUCUACAUGCAUGUAUAAGAUAAACUCAUCAUAGGGCCUCUAUUUUCUUUUUCUUUCUUUUUUUUUUUUUUUUUUUUUGUCAGAGAGGUGUGGGUUAAUGCCUGUUGGGUCAUGGUGAGGGUGAGAAACCAGACGGAGAAACUUUAAGACACACGUCCACACGUUCUGAUUUGCUCCGUUCAAACGUGUUUCACAGGCGUGGUGGUAGGUGCAGGGAAAACAGAGUCAGCUUGAAUUGUCAAGGUCGAGGGGCAACAGCGAAGCCUGGAGCAUCUCCCAUAGUCCUCAGAUUUCCUGUCUUGUUUCAAAGCAUUUUUUUUUUAAUGUGGUGAAAUAUACGUAACAUAAAAUUUACCAUCUUAACCGUU